rnacentral:rRNA from 1 species
AUACGGAGGGUGCGAGCGUUGUUCGGAAUUACUGGGCGUAACGGGCGCGCAGGCGGCUUGAUAAGUCAGAUGUGAAAGCCCACGGCUCAACCGUGGAAGUGCAUCUGAAACUGUCUGGCUUGAGUACUGGAGAGGAAAGUGGAAUUCCUGGUGUAGAGGUGAAAUUCGUAGAUAUCAGGAGGAACACCGGUGGCGAAGGCGACUUUCUGGACAGAUACUGACGCUGAGGCGCGAAAGCGUGGGGAGCAAACAGGAUUAGAAACCCUAGUAGUCC